AAACCUUGGCAAAAGAAGGUUCGAGUAAAUUUAGACACAUGACAAGCCACUUUGGAGAAGAACAGAUAAGUCUACUUCUGCGAAAACAAGUAUAUACCCAUACGAGUAUUUUGAUUCCGAGGCAAAGUUUGUAGAAACUCAACUACCACCGAUUGAAGAUUUUUAUAGUACACUAUCGGGAGAAGGUAUAACCACACUGGACUAUGCGCAUGCACAACAGGUAUGGCAAUUGUUUAACAUACAGAAUCUCGGACAGUACCACGAUCUAUACGUUCUAUCAGAUGUCCUUGCAUUAGCCGACGUCUUUGAAAAUUUCAGGGAGAUCUGUCUCAACUACUAUGGACUGGAUGCUGCACAUUUCUAUACCUCGCCCGGUUUAGCCUGGCAAGCUGCCUUGAAAAUGACAGGUGUGAAUUUAGAAUUACUCACUGACGUAGACAUGCAUUUGUUUAUAGAGAAAGGUUUAAGAGGGGAAUAUCAACGAUAUCCCAGCGUCAUGCUAAAGCUAACAAUAAAAAUGUUCCAAAUUACGACGAAAAUGAACCAAAUAGCCAUGUGAUGUACCUAGAUGCCAACAACUUAUACGGAUGGGCCAUGUCUCAGGCUCUUCCUGUUAAAGACUUCAAAUGGCUAGACGAUUGUGAAAUUGAAAACCUUCAUAUAAGUGACAUUGCAGAUGAGAAUGAAAAUGGUUAUAUACUAGAAGUUGACCUAGAAUAUCCAAAGGAACUGCACGAUGACCACAGCGAAUAUCCACUCGCUCCCGAAAAGUUGAAGGUUACAGAUGAAAUGUUAUCGCCCUAUGCGAAAAAGCUAUUGGAAGAUUUAGAUUUAAAAGGAACGUCGACAGAAAAAUUGAUACCGAAUUUAUAUCCAAAGGAAAAAUACGUGGUACAUUAUAGAAAUUUGAAACUCUACUUAUCUCUUGGAAUGAGACUUACCAAGAUUCAUAGGGUACUCGCGUUUGAACAACGACCCUGGCUAAAAAAAUAUAUCGAUUUUAACACAGAGAAAAGAAAA
rnacentral:lncRNA from 1 species